CCUACGGGAGGCAGCAGUGGGGAAUAUUGCACAAUGGGGGAAACCCUGAUGCAGCGACGCCGCGUGAGUGAAGAAGUAUCUCGGUACGGAAAGCUCUAUCAGCAGGGAAGAAAAUGACGGUACCUGACUAAGAAGCCCCGACUAACUACGUGCCAGCACCCGCGGUAAUACGUAGGGGGCAAGCGUUAUCCGGAUUUACUGGGUGUAAAGGGAGCGUAGACGGAAGCACAGGUCUGGAGUGAAAUCCCGGGGCUUAACCCCGGAAGUGAUUUUGAAAGUGUGCGGAUGGAGUGCAGGAGGGGUAAGCGGAAUUCCUAGUGUAGCGGUGAAAUGCGUAGAUAUUAGGAGGAACACCGGUGGCGAAGGCGGCUUACUGGACUGUAACUGACGUUGAGGCUCGAAAGCGUGGGGAGCAAACAGGAUUAGAUACCCGAGUAGUC
rnacentral:rRNA from 1 species